rnacentral:misc_RNA from 1 species
AAGUCGUAACAAGGUUUCCGUAGGUGAACCUGCGGAAGGAUCAUUAAUGAACUUGUGGUUGUUGCUGGCUAGUGUCUCUAGCAUGUGCACACGCACCUUCACCCCACUUUACACCUGUGCACCAUUUGUAGUAUGUUGUGAUGUUUUAAGACUUGCACUAUGCAGGCCUUUUUACUGAUCAUCUACUAUGUUUUUUUUACACACACACAAUAGUCAUUGAAUGUAUAUUUGAUUUUAUAUUGAAAAAACAACUUUCAACAACGGAUCUCUUGGCUCUC